CCCGGUAGCUACCCUGUAGCUACCCUGCAGCCGCCGGCGGACCAUCAAACUCUGAUUAUAUAGAUAUCUGAGCGUACUUUUAAAUAAGUCAAAACUUUCAACAACGGAUCUCUUGGUUCUGGCAUCGAUGAAGAACGCAGCGAAAUGCGAUAAGUAAUGUGAAUUGCAGAAUUCAGUGAAUCAUCGAAUCUUUGAACGCACAUUGCGCCCAUUAGUACUCUAGUGGGCAUGCCUGUUCGAGCGUCAUUACGACCCUUAAGCCUAGCUUAGUAUUGGGAACCUACGUGCGGCAGCUACCCUGUAGCUACCCUGUAGCUCCUUAAAGACAACGGCGGAGACGUGGAGUCCUCUGAGCUUAGUAACUUUUCUAGCUUCUGAAAGCGCCCCGCCCC
rnacentral:rRNA from 1 species